rnacentral:rRNA from 1 species
UACGAAGGGGGCUAGCGUUGCUCGGAAUGACUGGGCGUAAAGGGCGCGUAGGCGGGCUCGCCAGUCAGGGGUGAAAGCCUCCAGCUCAACUGGAGAAGUGCCUUUGAUACUGCGAGUCUCGAGGGAGGUAGGGGCGUGCGGAACUUCCGGUGGAGCGGUGAAAUGCGUAGAUAUCGGAAGGAACACCGGUGGCGAAAGCGGCGCUCUGGUCCUCUUCUGACGCUGAGGCGCGAAAGCCAGGGGAGCAAACGGG